rnacentral:lncRNA from 1 species
GAAAAAAUGGAUGAUAAGAUAUGUCUCCUCUAAGUUAGGUGAUCCUCACCCGAUCAUUUAGCCAAACGGUGCAAACUCUUUGUCAAACAAUGAAAAAGAAAAAAAAAAUAAGGUCAUUGAUCACCAACAUAUUUACUUACCAUGCACGUGCAAGGAUAACGGGCUUAAUGUGAUUGCGCUUGAAUGAAAUGGAGUAAAAAAG